CCUACGGGCGGCAGCAGUGGGGAAUAUUGCACAAUGGGCGCAAGCCUGAUGCAGCCAUGCCGCGUGUGUGAAGAAGGCCUUCGGGUUGUAAAGCACUUUCAGCGGGGAGGAAGGCGGUGAGGUUAAUAACCUCAUCGAUUGACGUUACCCGCAGAAGAAGCACCGGCUAACUCCGUGCCAGCAGCCGCGGUAAUACGGAGGGUGCAAGCGUUAAUCGGAAUUACUGGGCGUAAAGCGCACGCAGGCGGUCUGUCAAGUCGGAUGUGAAAUCCCCGGGCUCAACCUGGGAACUGCAUUCGAAACUGGCAGGCUAGAGUCUUGUAGAGGGGGGUAGAAUUCCAGGUGUAGCGGUGAAAUGCGUAGAGAUCUGGAGGGAUACCGGUGGCGAAGGCGGCCCCCUGGACAAAGACUGACGCUCAGGUGCGAAAGCGUGGGGAGCAAACAGGAUUAGAUACCCUUGUAGUC
rnacentral:rRNA from 1 species